UACGUAGGGGGCAAGCGUUGUCCGGAUUUAUUGGGCGUAAAGAGCGUGUAGGCGGCUAGAUAGGUCCGUUGUGAAAACUCGAGGCUCAACCUCGAGACGUCGAUGGAAACCAUCUGGCUAGAGUCCGGAAGAGGAGAGUGGAAUUCCUGGUGUAGCGGUGAAAUGCGCAGAUAUCAGGAGGAACACCGGUGGCGAAGGCGGCAUCCUGGACCGAUAUUGACGCUGAUGCGCGAAAGCCAGGGGAGCAAACGGG
rnacentral:rRNA from 1 species